UGAAGCUUAGGAGAUGGUAUUCCUCCCAUUACAAACCGCCCUUAGGCUGAUGAUACCUACGUCUUC
rnacentral:ncRNA from 2 species